rnacentral:tRNA from 1 species
GAUAUAGCUUAAUUGGUAGAGUAUCUGCCUUUCAUGCACAAGGCCCUGGGUUCAACCCCCAGCAAAACA